rnacentral:rRNA from 1 species
ACUCCUACGGGAGGCAGCAGUGGGGAAUUUUGGACAAUGGGCGCAAGCCUGAUCCAGCAAUGCCGCGUGAGUGAAGAAGGCCUUCGGGUUGUAAAGCUCUUUCAGUUGAGAAGAAAAAAUUGUGACUAAUAAUUGCAAUUCAUGACGGUAUCGACAGAAGAAGCACCGGCUAACUACGUGCCAGCAGCCGCGGUAAU